UAUAUUUUCAUUUGGCUCUUGAUUUGUGUCCUUUAAUAUCCUUUGUAAUAAGCCAGUAACCUGGUGAGUAAAUGGGUUUCUUCAGUUCUGUGAGACACUCUAGCAAAUUAAUCAAACCCAAGGAGAGGGUCAUGGGAACCUCUGAUUUACAGCCAGUAAUAACCCAGGUUUAUGAUUGGCAUCUGAAGGGGAAGGUAGACUUUCAGGACUGGGCCCUUAACUGUGGGAUCUGAUGUCUUAUCUGGAUAGGUAGUGUCAGAAUUGAGAGGAACUGUAGCUUGGGACACCCAGCUGGUACCCAAGACUUGCUUGGAUGUGUGGGGGAAUGCCUCUGACACCACUGGAAAUUGAUGGCCAGACCCUUUGGAAGGAGCCCAGGAGAUGGAGUCACAGAGGUUAAGAUACUGGUUGGUGGCAGAGCCAGUACGAGGGAGCCUCAGAGGAGGUUCUUCUAAAAUCUACAUUACUGAAUCAGCUAAAUUUGGCACUUAGAAAUGGAUGCACUCUUUCAGGCCACAGGAUACAAUAUGGCAGUCUGCCAAGGUUGACUGAAAAAUUAAAAGAAUAAAAAGUCUCAUUAAUAUGUGAUAGUGGUUAGCUGAGUCAGUGUUCAUGUGUCAAUACUAAAUUACCUACUUAGGAAGCUAACAAGCUGACUUCAUAAUACUGAUCAUAGAUGCUGCACUAUAAAUUCUAGCAGAAUAAUUUUAAAAAACACUAUAAGUAACUUGGUAGUAUUUUAUAUACUUGAAAGUCCAUAAUUUCC